GUCCACGCCCUAAACGAUGAUUACUCGAAGUGUGCGAUACACUGCACGCCUCUUAGCGAAAGCAUUAAGUAAUCCACCUGGGAAGUACGACCGCAAGGUUGAAACUCAAAGGAAUUGACGGGGCCGCACAAGCGGAGGAGCAUGUGGUUUAAUUCGAUGAUACGCGAGGAACCUUACCUGGGCUUGAAAGUUAGUGAAUGCCGUAGAAACAUGGCAGCAAGCAAUUGCACGAAACUAGGUGCUGCAUGGCUGUCGU
rnacentral:rRNA from 1 species